UGAAGUUGGAAAGUAUCAGCUAACGAACCUCUGCUAACUUGGUUAGCUUGGUUAGCCUGCUGCAUUAGUAAAUAAUUUGUAAUUCAAAGUGACAUUAAAUACAGUGAUAAGUUUGGUUUUUGAAAAACAAUUUUAAAACCAAAUACUUGAAAAAAUAGAGUUACCUUUAGUACAUCCUAAUGCUGAACAAGAAGAUAUCAAUCAGAGAGCCUCUCCCUUAAUCCUGAAGCCUUAAUCUAACUCAAACUGCUCCUGUCAGAAAAUGUUUGUCGAAUGUGAAAAAGAGUUUCCCACAGCCCAGUGCACAAGACGAAUCCAUCAGCCGGACAUAAAGGGCCUCCACAGCAUUACUGGGUCCCUGUGAAACUCCGCCAAUUACAAACAGCAUGUUGGUCACCUGCAGAAGAGCAGAGGAGCAGCGCGCGGUGGGCAUGGGUGCCACGUACUCCCAGCGCCGCUUCACCGGGUUAU